rnacentral:lncRNA from 1 species
GAGAAGUGAAGUGAAAAUAAACUUAGACACUUAGACUAGCAUGAUCCCAGUUGGCAGUCAAACACGUUUUGUGAAAUACCAAGGUCUGAUAGAAAAGUAGAAAACAAGCCCUGGGAGGACAAACUCCUCAGAACAAACACGGUGAAAACAGUCCUGAGUUACCACAUGACAUGCUCUUAUGGAUCAGACAAGUGUGUCUGCCAUCAGAUCAUCAGGAAGGAGGGUCUGGGAAAAUGGCCCACAAGCUUGAGAUCUGGGCAUUUCACACUGCUGAAGGAAAGGUGAGAAGGCACCAGUUCCAGGCAUCAUCAGCUCAGGAGUGAAGACAUCUCCCCAACAGCAGUGGAAAUCAUGAUGCACUGAAUGUAGAAUUAGAAAUUCGAGAUCUGGAUUCUGGCUCUACCACGUAACAGCAUUUGACCACAGGCAAAAAGUUAAUCCCUCCAUGGCCUUGUUUUCUUAACUGUGGCAUGGAUACAAUGAUACCAAGAGCAGAAAAGGGAAUAAAUGUAGUAGGUACAAAUGCUUCAAAAACAUUCUACAAAUUUUCAAGAUUGUUUUCUCUCCUCCUUAGACGUCAUUAAGAAUCCUAACAGAGUAUUCUCCAAACUAUAUUAAUGCUAUAAUUAUCCAGGAAAUAUUUAUCGAGUACCUUCUAGAUGCUCAAUAGAGCUACAAGAGAUGCUUAGGAUACAGCAAUGAACAAGAAAAGUUCCUACCCUUGUCACCGGCAACUUUGAGGAGUAGCUUCAUUGAGUGGGGGAAAUGGAAGCCAGACUAGAGCCAAGUGAAGAGAGGAUGAGAAGGAGAGGAGGACACUACCCGGUGUGGAUAACUCUAAUGAGGAAGAGUUAUGUCCUGAAGGAGAAGAGGAACCACAGUCACCAAACAAAGAUGAAACAAACAAGUAGCACUUCAGUAAUGAUGCCCAGAAGGCAACCAAAAGCAGCAAGAUUAAGAGGAGAGAAGUCUACAUCCCUAAUGGAACCACAGAGCCCUGCUGAUCUUUCUGCCCAGGUUGCCCUUGACAACCACACUACUGAGUAUCUCCAAACAGAGAACAAGGAUAUAUGACUUACACCUCCUCUCCAUGAUGCCCCAAAAAUUACGUACAGACAGCGGAUUCAGCAUCUGCUUAUAGAGUAAACUGCACCCAAGAUACCCAGAGCUUCAGGAAACAAAAGAAAUUAGGUUAGGCUUCUAAGGGUUGACUUCUGGGAGCUGGGUAAUUAAAUGAGUCAAUACUUACCAAAAAGGUGCCAGCAGGUCACAAGAAUUCAACACAAAACUAAUAUAAGGCUAUUAUUAAUACAAUCUUAAAAGCUGAGCAUCUUCCUGCAUGUAUAUUUUUAUAAUCGGUCAUCUUAUUAAAACCUCAUUCUACCCUUCAGCAGUUUGUGAAUACAUCAUCACAACAAGUGAUUAUUCAUGACAUGUGUUUGAUGAAUCUGUUCGUUAUGGUUUGAAAAGUAGACAUCACAUGAUCCCUUCAAGGAUCUAGUUUCACCUCUCAGAAUAGUUGAACAUUUGGCCUUGCCCCUGUUGGUAACCCAAACCCAACUGCUUUGAAAAGUUGCUUAACUGGAAUGAGGUA